CACUGCAGAAAUGCUCAGAUGAGCCGAAACCAGGGCCUUCUAAAGCAAAGCGGUCCAACACUACGGCUGAACUAAUGGAGGAUUCAGAAGAAGAAGCCGACCUUCUGACCUCCACCAAGAGACGCUCGCAGGAGCCAAAGAGGGCUGAGACAGCAGGUGUAAAAGGAUGUCGCAGGCCUUGGACCUCUAAAGAAAAAGCAGCAGUCCGGCGCCAACUCGGCCGGUUCAUUACACUACAAAGGGUGCCUGGAAAAGAACCGUGUGUAACGGCUCUGGAGGCAGAACCUGUGCUGUGCAGUCGGAGCUGAAAGGACGUUAAGAACCUAGUUUACAAUUCCAUUACUGCCCAAAAAAGAAAACUACUGUAGUUAAUUUCAGAAGUGGGUAGAGAGGAGAUGAGAGAGAGGAG